AGAUUGAACGCUGGCGGCAGGCCUAACACAUGCAAGUCGAGCGGUAGAGAGGUGCUUGCAUCUCUUGAGAGCGGCGGACGGGUGAGUAAUGCCUAGGAAUCUGCCUAGUGGUGGGGGAUAACGUUCGGAAACGGACGCUAAUACCGCAUACGUCCUACGGGAGAAAGCGGGGGACCUUCGGGCCUCGCGCCAUUAGAUGAGCCUAGGUCGGAUUAGCUAGUUGGUGAGGUAAUGGCUCACCAAGGCCGACGAUCCGUAACUGGUCUGAGAGGAUGAUCAGUCACACUGGAACUG
rnacentral:rRNA from 1 species